rnacentral:rRNA from 1 species
GAACUGAAGAGUUUGAUCCUGGCUCAGAUUGAACGCUGGCGGCAUGCCUUACACAUGCAAGUCGAACGGUAACGCGGGGCAACCUGGCGACGAGUGGCGAACGGGUGAGUAAUACAUCGGAACGUGCCCAGUA